rnacentral:rRNA from 1 species
CAGCCGCGGUAAUUCCAGCUCCAAUAGCGUAUAUUAAAGUUGUUGCAGUUAAAAAGCUCGUAGUUGAAUUUCGGGAUUGACGUGACGGUCGUGCCUUACGGGGUAUGAACUGUUGCUGUUGAUUUCUCACCUUCUGGAGAAACUUGAUGUCCUUAAUUGGGUGUCUUGCGGAUCCAGGACCUUUACCUUGAAAAAAUUAGAGUGUUUAAAGCAGGCAUUUUGCUCGAAUACAUUAGCAUGGAAAUAAUAGAAUAGGACGGCAUGGUUCUAUUUUGUUGGUUUCUAGGAUCACCGUAAUGAUUAAUAGGGAUAGUUGGGGCAUUAGUAUUCAAUUGUCAGAGGUGAAAUUCUUGGAUUUAUUGAAGACUAACUACUGCGAAAGCAUUUGAUGUUUUCAUUAAUCAAGAACGAAAGUUAGGGAUCGAAGACGAUCAGAUACCGUCGUAGUCUUAACCUUAACCAUAAACUAUGCCGACUAGGGGAUCGGAUGAUGUUAAUUUUUAUAAUGACUCAUUCGGCGCCUUACGGGAAAC